CUCAUCUCUGAAGAUAGAUAGCAAAGAAUUCCAAGAGGGCAAUCUGCUGGGAAAAAUACAAACUUACGUUAGUUACCAACUAGCCUGUUUAAUGAGGAAAACAUCCUAAGGGAAGCAAAACUCUGUGCAGACUUCCCUCAAACAGCCUGCUGAGGUGAAAAGUUGCAGCUGUUCCAAGUUGCCCAAAGAGUCGGAUUCUGGAAUGAAUCUUCCUUCAGGUGCAGUACAGCACAUGGGGCAUUGGAAAUACAGCACUGAAAAUGCAGGAAGCACAAGGUGCUGCAAGACAUAAGAAUAGCAGUGCAUGCCUGUUCUAGGAUAACUGCUCUGGAGGUUUUGAUCAAUGCUUUGGCCACUGCACAAAUACAGAGGAAGUCUCUAUCAUGACCAGGUGAGUUUAUCACCAAAACUGAAUCCAGAAGUAUAGCACAGAAGAAAAGGAAGUUCUUGAAUGGGGACUGGAGGCAAACACAGUAGUCCACAUUGUCCUGGAGGCAGUCUGAUUUCUACACGUGAAGUCUUCCCUUGCAUUGGGCAAUAUCAGGACCUCUGCAGGAAAGACACUGAGCAACCUCAUUUGGUCAGUGUUGCAAGAGCAGAAGGGAUGGCUGGAAGAGGAGGGACCAAGAGAUUUGGCACAAGUCACAGCAAGAAAGCAUCAUUUGGGCCAAGAACAGAUUUAUUAAGGGAAUGGAUUUCAAAGCCCAUCAAAAGACUUUUGAAGCUCAUUGAUAUCCAAUGGCAAGUAUUUAAGAAAGAAGAGCAGCUGUGUAUAAAAUGGCCCAGAGAGAAGAAAACAUGGGAUACAUGCAGAAAAAAAUCUUGAAAUUGCUCAAUUGAGAAGAAGAUGCUAAGACGUUUUUUGACAGAAAAGUUUUUAAAUUUAAUAAUUAAAACCCAGCCUAUUGCCAAUGAUUCCUCAAGUAGGCUUUUUGUUCUUCAGAGCCUGCAAUACUUCAGAUUUCUGGGAAGGAAAGAGUAUUCCUCUUUUAAAAUCUGAUUGCUCUUUCAAUACAUGCUAGAGAAAGCUAGGCAUGACUAAACUAUUAUUUGAAGAGUUUGUAGAUGAUUGUGGAUCAUAAUUAUAUCCUGUUUAAAACAUCCCUUGAGGUAGGGAUGGAAUAGGGUAAUUUGUGACCCUUCCCUUGUCUUCAAUUACUAAUGACAGCCUGAACUGAUGAACAAAAAAAAAAAAAAAAAAAAAAAAAAAAAAAGAAAAAAAAAAAAAGUGUAAGGCUUUGAGUUUCAGCCACAUUAAACACCUCUCUUUGCUAAACAAAUCACAAGCAUAACCACUUUUACAUUCAAAUUCAAGGUAAGCAUGCGCUGGAGUGCCCUUGCUGAACCAGAGUGGGAAUGAGGUGAGCACCCACUCACCUCAUGAGUAUGGAAGAUACUCUGUACUCUCCACUUAGAAAUCACUCUUCUUCCUUAUGGAAGAGAAAUACAGCUGCUCCUGAGCCUGAGCAUCACCACCAAAACAGCCAAACCACCCAGCCAGGGGAGGGCCUUGUGGUGGGAGUCUGCGAUGCCCCAGGGGGUGAGGCUGAAGCCGGGCUGAGCUGAGGGCACUGCACUGGUAAUUGCAGGCACCCAAGCUGCUCUUCAGUGCCCAGACAUGCUUUAGAUAUUUUCUGUGCCACAGUCCCCUACUUCAGCUUUACCUGGGAUUUGAGAUGUUGACACUAAAUAGCAAACCUGAUGCCUUGGAUUAAAAACCACCAAAGUGGGACUAUUAAUUUCAGUAGGAACCAGAGUUUAUGGAGGUUCCUUUUUUUAUUUCUGUAGGAGGUAUCCACUCAGAUAUUCAGUGAAUUAUUUCUUUUUUUUCCAGAGUAAAUUUUGUGAUGUUUUUCGUUUUCAGACUGUAAGACAUCCUGCUUAUAUGCUAUAGUCCUAAUAAAUACAGAUCAGACUUAAAGAGCUUCUGUAAAUGUCAUUAUUUCGAGGCAACCUACUCA